AGUGAACGCUGGCGGCAGGCCUAACACAUGCAAGUCGAGCGGCAGCGCGGGUGUAGCAAUACAUCUGGCGGCGAGCGGCGGACGGGUGAGGAAUACAUCGGAAUUUACCCAAUCGUGGGGGAUAACGUAGGGAAACUUACGCUAAUACCGCAUGAACUGGAGGCAGCAAAGCGGCGGACCUUCGGGCGUCGCGCGGUUGGAUGAGCCGAUGUCGGAUUAGCUAGUGGCGGGGUAAAGGCCCACCAAGGCGACGAUCCGUAGCUGGUCUGAGAGGAUGAUCAGCCACACUGGAACUGAGACACGGUCCAGACUCCUACGGGAGGCAGCAGUGGGGAAUAUUGGACAAUGGGCGCAAGCCUGAUCCAGCCAUGCCGCGUGNGUGAAG
rnacentral:rRNA from 1 species